rnacentral:rRNA from 1 species
AACGCGAAGAACCUUACCUAGGCUUGACAGUUGGGGAAAUCUGGCAGAGAUGUCAGGUCCGCAAGGGCCCCAAAACAGGUGGUGCAUGGCUGUCGUCAGCUCGUGUCGUGAGAUGUUGGGUUAAGUCCCGCAACGAGCGCAACCCUUGUCCUAUGUUGCCAGCGGGUAAUGCCGGGGACUCGUAGGAGACUGCCGGGGUCAACUCGGAGGAAGGUGGGGACGACGUCAAAUCAUCAUGCCCCUUAUGUCCAGGGCUGCAAACAUGCUACAAUGGCCGGUACAAAGGGCUGCGAAACCGCGAGGUGGAGCGAAUCCCAUAAAGCCGGUCUCAGUUCGGAUUGGAGUCUGCAACUCGACUCCAUGUAGCUGGAGUCGCUAGUAAUCGCAGAUCAGCAACGCUGCGGUGAAUACGUUCCCGGGUCUUGUACACACCG